rnacentral:rRNA from 1 species
UACGAAGGGGGCUAGCGUUGCUCGGAAUUACUGGGCGUAAAGAGCUCGUAGGCGGUCUGUCGCGUCGGAUGUGAAAACCCAGGGCUCAACCCUGGGCCUGCAUUCGAUACGGGCAGACUAGAGUUCGGUAGGGGAGACUGGAAUUCCUGGUGUAGCGGUGAAAUGCGCAGAUAUCAGGAGGAACACCGGUGGCGAAGGCGGGUCUCUGGGCCGAAACUGACGCUGAGGAGCGAAAGCGUGGGGAGCAAACAGG